CGGGUGAGUAACACGUGGAUAACCUACCUAUAAGACUGGGAUAACUUCGGGAAACCGAGCUAAUACCGGAUAAUAUAUUGAACCGCAUGGUUCAAUAGUGAAAGACGGUUUUGCUGUCACUUAUAGAUGGAUCCGCGCCGCAUUAGCUAGUUGGUAAGGUAACGGCUUACCAAGGCAACGAUGCGUAGCCGACCUGAGAGGGUGAUCGGCCACACUGGAACUGAGACACGGUCCAG
rnacentral:rRNA from 1 species